ACUCCGGAAUGGGGCAACCCGGCGGGCGCACGGCCCGUCACCGGUGAGAACCGGGAGGGAACCGCGGGAAGUGAAACAUCUGAGUACCGCGAGGAGAAGAGAGGAUUCCCCGAGUAGCGGCGAGCGAACGGGGAGGAGCCCAAACCUGUGAGGCGAACGAGCUGACUGGCGCUGCCUCACGGGGGUUGAACGAGCGUGAUGGAGGGGGCAGUUGACCCCUCGCGCGGGUGUGUGGUAGAGAGCGGAAGGCCGCUGGAACGGGCCAUCGCAGAGGGUGAGAAUCCCGUACGCAAACCUCCAGGCAUCUGGGUGAUCAUGGAUCGUGAGUACCGCCGGACACGAGAAAUCCGGCGGGAAGCGGGGCGGACCACCGCCCAAGGCUAAAUACCGCCAUCGACCGAUAGUGAACCAGUACCGUGAGGGGAACGGUGAAAAGCACCCCGGCGAGGGGAGUGAAACAGAUCCUGAAACCCUGCGCUUCCGGCCGGUCGGAGCCCCCCACGCAAGUGAUGGGGUGACGGCGUGCCUUUUUGUAGAAUGAGC
rnacentral:rRNA from 1 species